rnacentral:rRNA from 1 species
UACGGGGGGAGCAAGCGUUGUUCGGAUUUACUGGGCGUAAAGGGCGCGUAGGCGGUCGUGACAAGUCACUUGUGAAAUCUCCGGGCUUAACUCGGAACGGUCAAGUGAUACUGUCGGACUAGAGUACAGAAGGGGCAACUGGAAUUCUCGGUGUAGCGGUGAAAUGCGUAGAUAUCAGGAGGAACACCGGUGGCGAAGGCGGCCCUCUGGACGGUGACUGACGCUGAGACGCGAAAGCGUGGGGAGCAAACAGG